rnacentral:rRNA from 1 species
UACGUAGGCAGCAAGCGUUGUUCGGAGUUACUGGGCGUAAAGGGUGCGUAGGCGGCUUUUUAAGUUUGGUGUGAAAUCUCCCGGCUCAACUGGGAGGGUGCGCCGAAUACUGAGAGGCUAGAGUGUGGGAGAGGAAAGUGGAAUUCCUGGUGUAGCGGUGAAAUGCGUAGAUAUCAGGAGGAACACCGGUGGUGUAAACGGCUUUCUGGACCAUUUCUGACGCUGAGACACGAAAGCGUGGGUAGCAAACAGG